GCAAGUCGAACGCUUCUGCUUUGACUGAUGCUUGCAUCGACUAAAGUUAGAAGAGUGGCGAACGGGUGAGUAACACGUGGGUAACCUGCCCAUCAGAGGGGGACAACACUUGGAAACAGGUGCUAAUACCGCAUGACAAUAAAAACCGCAUGGUUUUUAUUUGAAAGGCGCUUCUGGUGUCGCUGAUGGAUGGACCCGCGGUGCAUUAGCUAGACGGUGAGGUAAUGGCUCACCGUGGCAAUGAUGCAUAGCCGACCUGAGAGGGUGAUC
rnacentral:rRNA from 1 species